GACGAACGCUGGCGGCGUGCCUAAUACAUGCAAGUAGAACGCUGAAGUGAGGAGCUUGCUCUUCUUGGAUGAGUUGCGAACGGGUGAGUAACGCGUAGGUAACCUGCCUUGUAGCGGGGGAUAACUAUUGGAAACGAUAGCUAAUACCGCAUAACAAUGGAUGACACAUGUCAUUUAUUUGAAAGGGGCAAUUGCUCCACUACAAGAUGGACCUGCGUUGUAUUAGCUAGUAGGUGAGGUAACGGCUCACCUAGGCGACGAUACAUAGCCGACCUGAGAGGGUGAUCGGCCACACUGGGACUGAGACACGGCCCAGACUCCUACGGGAGGCAGCAGUAGGGAAUCUUCGGCAAUGGGGGCAACCCUGACCGAGCAACGCCGCGUGAGUGAAGAAGGUUUUCGGAUCGUAAAGCUCUGUUGUAAGUCAAGAACGAGUGUGAGAGUGGAAAGUUCACACUGUGACGGUAGCUUACCAGAAAGGGACGGCUAACUACGUG
rnacentral:rRNA from 1 species